rnacentral:rRNA from 1 species
GUGCAGCAGUCGCGAAACCUUCGCAAUGCAGGAAACUGCGACGAGGGAACUCCAAGUGCCUACGCUCAGCGUAGGCUGUUCUCAAGCCUAGAAAGCUUGAGGAGUAAGGGCUGGGGUAAGACGGGUGCCAUCUGUGGUAGCAGUCAAUAGAUUCGAUUUGUUACUGCAAGGCAUAAGCCGCCGCGGUAAUACCCGCAGCCCAAGUGGUGGCCGCUUUUAUUGGGCCUAAAGCGUCCGUAGCCGGCCCGGUAAAUGCCUGGGUAAAUCGUGGAGCCCAACUUCACGAAUUCCGGGUAGACUGCCGAGCUCGGGACCGGAAGA